AAAGAAUUAGUUAAAUAAUAACUUGAGUUUGUCAAGCUCAAAUUGCCAGUGGCAUUCUUUU
rnacentral:tRNA from 1 species